rnacentral:misc_RNA from 1 species
AAGUCGUAACAAGGUUUCCGUAGGUGAACCUGCGGAAGGAUCAUUAAUAAAUUAUCCAAUUAUGGAUUUUAAUCCAUAUCCACCCUUGUGCACCGUUUAACUGUCUGCCUUUCCGGUGGUUUAAAGUGUUUUGGGAUUGAGUUAAAGUCUUUGGCUUUAUCUUUUUUCUUCAUCACCCACCGGUUGGCGAAUUAUUAAAAUCCUUUGUUUAAUUUAUAAAGUCUGAAGUUAUCUGGCCAUAGAGUCAGAAAGAUUGUAAUCAAAUACAACUUUCAACAAUGGAUCUCUUGGCUCUC